GGGAGUGUAAAGGUGCCUGGUGGACCUCCUGGACUUCAAAUCCAGUGCGGGGCUACGAACAAGUCCCGGGUGGGUUCGAUUCCCAUACGCUCCC
rnacentral:tRNA from 1 species